rnacentral:rRNA from 1 species
ACGGGUGAGUAAUAUAUCGGAACGUGCCCAGUAGUGGGGGAUAGCCCGGCGAAAGCCGGAUUAAUACCGCAUACGACCUACGGGUGAAAGCGGGGGAUCGCAAGACCUCGCGCUAUUGGAGCGGCCGAUAUCAGAUUAGCUUGUUGGUGGGGUAAAAGCCUACCAAGGCGACGAUCUGUAGCUGGUCUGAGAGGACGACCAGCCACACUGGGACUGAGACACGGCCCAGACUCCUACGGGAGGCAGCAGUGGGGAAUUUUGGACAAUGGGCGCAAGCCUGAUCCAGCCAUGCCGCGUGCGGGAAGAAGGCCUUCGGGUUGUAAACCGCUUUUGUCAGGGAAGAAACGGCUCUUACUAAUACUAGGGGCUAAUGACGGUACCUGAAGAAUAAGCACCGGCUAACUACGUGCCAGCAGCCGCGGUAAUACGUAGGGUGCAAGCGUUAAUCGGAAUUACUGGGCGUAAAGCGUGCGCAGGCGGCUUUGCAAGACAGAUGUGAAAUCCCCGGGCUCAACCUGGGAACUGCAUUUGUGACUGCAUGGCUAGAGUGCGGCAGAGGGGGAUGGAAUUCCGCGUGUAGCAGU